rnacentral:lncRNA from 1 species
GGCCCGCCGCGCAGCUGCGCCGCCGCCGGGCACCACGGGGCUCGUAGUCCGGGCUAGGGCCCGGCCGGGGGAGCGCGGAGGAAGGAGAAGAUAAGGCAGCAGAGGUGCUGCCAGCAUGUGGAGCUGAGAGCAGUGAAAGUCCAAAGGACUGGGGCACCAGAGGAGGUCACCAGGAGCUGUCAUGACUGCAGGACAUAUAUAAGCCCUGCAGGAAAGAGAAAGGGAGAAUGAUUCAUUGGUUGAUGCAAGCCUCUGUAGGUAUGAAGAACACUUGUCCAUUCGUAAUUGAAACUAUUCAAGAUGCAUGGGCCUGAAAGGGCAUUAUAAGUUUCUCAUGCUCUCUGGUGUAGUAAAGAUCUUGUCUUCUAGCAAACAUUAUGAAUGAAAGAUUUUCUUACAAGGAGAGAUGGAGUAGACUGAAUCAAGCCUCUGUCAAGAACCACUUCUGCAAUACUGAAUUAACAUACCCAAGACCGGCACAUCAGGAAGAUAGCCUUCUACCAAGAAUAGUGUGGAGAUACACUUUGUUCACAGAAGGAAACAUCAUGAGACUCAGACAGAUACAGUGCAUCCUCCGAUUGCAGAGAUGUUGCUGCUCUCUGAGCACUGCACACUCUGUGUUCAUGACUGAUGAAAAUAAUGCCCAGUUUUGGGGGAGAUUUGUGUUAUGGGAGACAGUAACAGCUGCUCUAAUAGGGUGGCUUAUCACUUUCUUGUGGAGACAGGUACAGCUUCUGUUCUCUUUUGCACCCUCAAAUCUGGUAUAA